CGCAUCUGUGCAUGCAGCAUAUCAAUAAGCGGAGGAAAAGAAACUAACAAGGAUUCCCUCAGUAACGGCGAGUGAAGCGGGAAGAGCUCAAAUUUGAAAUCUUGAAAGGUCACCUUUCACGAAUUGUAGUUUAAAGAAGUGUUUUCUGUUACGAUCGUAAUAUAAGUUCUUUGGAAUAGGACAUCACAGAGGGUGAGAAUCCCGUCUAUGAUUGCGAUUUGUAGCUUUGUGAUACACUUUCAAAGAGUCGGGUUGUUUGGGAAUGCAGCCCAAAACGGGAGGUAAAUUUCUUCUAAGGCUAAAUAUUGGCGAGAGACCGAUAGCGAACAAGUACCGUGAGGGAAAGAUGAAAAGAACUUUGAAAAGAGAGUUAAAUAGUACGUGAAAUUGUCAAAAGGGAAGCGUUUAACACCAGUGUUGUUUUCUGAAAAUCAACCUCUGUUAGCUUUAUGCAUGUUUGUUUAGACCUAAUCAGCUAUCUUGCAUGUUCUAUUGUUUGCAGUGGUGCACUUUUCAGUUUACAGGUCAACAUCAGUUUUUUUUACCGUAAAAAAGUUAAAGAAAGGUAGCUCAUGGCUCCGGUCGUGAGUGUUAUAGUCUUUUUCCUAUGCGGUAGGAGAGACUGAGGUCUGCAGUGUAGGCUAUUUGGCUAGAUACUCAGGUGCUAUGUGAUACCAUUUUAUAAACAACUUGUUGAUUAUGUUUUGUCUAUUGCAUACUCGCUUGUACUAUCAUACCUACGCUUAGGAUGUUGAAGUCAUCGUAUCGCGC
rnacentral:rRNA from 1 species